UAAGAAUGGUUCAUAUUUUAUAAUUUUUUUAAUUUUCUUUAUCUUUUUGUUUUUAAAUUGUAUGUGUACUGAAAUUAGGGUUUCGUGGAUUGUAAUGCAGCAUCGCGGGGAAAAGCGAAGAUAGAUUUGGAAUCAAUGAGAGGAAAGAAGUGGUAGGUUUGGAGAGAUAUGUAGAGAAUCAACGUGGCUGUGACGAAAAAGGAGCUUGACGUUGAUAAUGGCGACAAAGGUAAUGUGGAGAUGGGGAUUCGUCUUCCCGAUGUCGGUAGUGUGAUCAAGAUGCGUAUGGAAUAAUAAUUCUAUUGCUGCUUCUUUCAUUACUAUUUUUUAUAAUUUAUUUACUGAAAUUAUAAAUUUUGUUAUAUUUGUACGUAUAUCUGUUUCAUCUAUUUUAUUUGUGUAUAUGUUAAUAUAUAUUAUCUUUAUUUAUUAAUGUCUUAUAAUAAUUUAAAAAAUUUAAAAUUUUUAUUUUGUGAAACUUCUGUCUUCUAUAAUAUCAGUCCGCCGCAAUGCGCGGGUAACUUUACUAGUAUAUUAUUACGAAUCCAAAAA
rnacentral:lncRNA from 1 species